CUACAAUGGCUUCCAGCGGAGUCCGGGUGAGCGCUGCUGGUUCGGAUAAUGAAACCCCCGAAAUACCAGACAACAUGGGAGAUUGGCUUCGGGGCGUCUACCGCUUUGCCACUGAUAGGAAUGACUUCCGGAAGAACUCGAUACUAAAUUUGGGACUCUUUGCUGCGGGAGUUGGGCUGGCCAGGAACUUGAGUGACGUUGACCUCAUGGCACCUCAGCUAGGGGUGUAGCCGAAUAGACAAAUGGAAUCCUGUGCUGAACCCGAAUCUUCCAAAAAACAGCCUACGAUCUGUGACCACUACAAGA